GGAGUACGGCCGCAAGGUUAAAACUCAAAUGAAUUGACGGGGGCCCGCACAAGCGGUGGAGCAUGUGGUUUAAUUCGAUGCAACGCGAAGAACCUUACCUACUCUUGACAUCCAGAGAAUUUAGCAGCGAUGCUUUAGUGCCUUCGGGAACUCUGAGACAGGUGCUGCAUGGCUGUCGUCAGCUCGUGUUGUGAAAUGUUGGGUUAAGUCCCGCAACGAGCGCAACCCUUAUCCUUUGUUGCCAGCGAUUCGGUCGGGAACUCAAAGGAGACUGCCGGUGAUAAACCGGAGGAAGGUGGGGAUGACGUCAAGUCAUCAUGGCCCUUACGAGUAGGGCUACACACGUGCUACAAUGGCGUAUACAAAGAGAAGCGACCUCGCGAGAGCAAGCGGAACUCAUAAAGUACGUCGUAGUCCGGAUUGGAGUCUGCAACUCGACUCCAUGAAGUCGGAAUCGCUAGUAAUCGUAGAUCAGAAUGCUACGGUGAAUACGUUCCCGGGCCUUGUACACACCGCCCGUCACACCAUGGGAGUGGGUUGCAAAAGAAGUAGGUAGCUUAACCUUCGGGAGGGCGCUUACCACUUUGUGAUUCAUGACUGGGGUGAAGUCGUAA
rnacentral:rRNA from 1 species